AGUGAACGCUGGCGGUAGGCCUAACACAUGCAAGUCGAACGGCAGCACAGGAGAGCUUGCUCUCUGGGUGGCGAGUGGCGGACGGGUGAGGAAUACAUCGGAAUCUACUUUUUCGUGGGGGAUAACGUAGGGAAACUUACGCUAAUACCGCAUACGACCUACGGGUGAAAGCAGGGGAUCUUCGGACCUUGCGCGAUUGAAUGAGCCGAUGUCGGAUUAGCUAGUUGGCGGGGUAAAGGCCCACCAAGGCGACGAUCCGUAGCUGGUCUGAGAGGAUGAUCAGCCACACUGGAACUGAGACACGGUCCAGACUCCUACGGGAGGCAGCAGUGGGGAAUAUUGGACAAUGGGCGCAAGCCUGAUCCAGCCAUACCGCGUGGGUGAAGAAGGCCUUCGGGUUGUAAAGCCCUUUUGUUGGGAAAGAAAUCCAGCUGGCUAAUACCCGGUUGGGAUGACGGUACCCAAAGAAUAAGCACCGGCUAACUUCGUGCCAGCAGCCGCUGUAA
rnacentral:rRNA from 1 species